CGCAAUUUGCCAAUUUUUUUGAUGUCACGGCCGGGGAGCACCCCCAGACGUAAUCGGCUUCGUUGUCGUCAGACAGUACUAAGAAUAUCCUCUUAGAAUUCGUCAUUACAUUUCAUAGCUUAAAUGAAAAAAUUUAAAACCUUUAUAUAUUGAGGUGUAUAUAGACCUCUCGCAUACUACUUAUUGAGUGUACUUAGACUCUUCGCAUAGGAAGCUUACAUAAGCUUCUCGUUUGGACAAUAUACAUAACAUAUAAAAAUAUAGUCUAAUAUACUGUCUCACCUUAAAACCAUCUAAAAUGAAAUCAAAUUAUUCGAGCAUGGCCCUUAAACAAAUCUAUGAUUUCCACUUAGGGCUUACAACAAUAUCAUCAAUAAUAAGAGAGAAAAGAUGUCUUUUAGACUAUAGCAAAUCCGACUAGAUUAGAUAGAAGGCAUCAUCCUCGAACAUUGAGGACUCACCAAUCAACUUAAGAAAGAUGUUCAAGUCUUCUUGCAUUUUGGCCUUGAUACCUCAAAGACCCGAACCAAUACUGUUUGGGAAAAGGGAAAGAAAUGGAUUAGUACAUCCACUUGUACUAAGUAUGGAAACAUAUGAACAUAUAAUAUUAAAAUCAUGCUUAAAGGGACAUUUUGAUCAAUAUCAUUCUAAAUCAAUUUUAAAAGCUUUCAUGCACAAUUAGGAAUAUAAGUCAUUGGGCACAACAUCACUCAAUACAAGUCCAUAUCCAAAAUAAGACCAAUAUCAUGAUAAAGUCAAGUCAACAUGAAUUCUAUCAAAAUAAGGCCAAAUCACAUAAAUAGUAUCAUAUCAGGAUCAUAUAACCAAAGGAAUUCCAACAUCACAAUAAAGCAUGUACAAGAUUUCAUCUCAUCACAUCAUACAAGACUCUUACACACAAACCCUUCCCAAGCCUACAAUUGCAGUGCCUAUAUGAAGUCCCAUAACCCCACAUAGUCCAGCAAACAAGGAAAGAGGUCAUAAAUAAUGCUUAACUUCAUUUAACAUAGCAUAAUGAGUAAUCAUCAUCAUAUAUAGCAAUAUAUACCAAUAACAUGCUCAUAAGUGAAACUAACAUCAUAUAGGGUUAUCAACAUGUAAAUCAACAUUUGCAUAUCAUUAAAAUAAUAAGAGCAUAAGUAAAGUCUCAUACCCCUACCUAUACUAAGAAGAACCCCUUAAGUCACCAUAGUUAGAGUUCCUUUUAUUACUUUAAUUUUACUUUCAGGAACAAUUGCCUGAACCGACAUAAACCAUGUAAGUUAAACAUGAAUCCAGUGUCAUGAAACCCUACACUGAAAGAAGGUGGUCUACUUGCCAAGGUAGUACAAAAAAUAUAAAUAUAGCAUUCUAGGUGGAUCCACUAGCUAGUAUUCCUAUGGGGGCAACACAGUUUAAGAACUAGGAGACAUACUUGAGACCCUUUUUAUGCACAAUGGCAUUGGAAUCUCUAUGUCAAGAGAACCAUUGUGAACCUACCUUCCUACAUUGGGAAGGGACACCUCUCAUAACUAGUUUACUCAAUGCUAAGCUAAAGUCCCUUUGUCAAAUGUCUUUAAGUAAUUCUUAAUAAUCAUAGCUUAAUAUAGGUCAUAGGAGACUAACCCCUUCUAUAUUCAUAGUUAUUAGCUCAUUAGGUAAUGUAUGAGAAUUCCCUUUCAUUACAAACCUUCAAUUGUAAGAUUAGCACACCAACAUCAUCAUAUCAUAGUAAGUAACAUAAGUGAUCCACAAUCAACCUUAUAUAAUCAUACCUUAAUCAUUAUCAACAACUCAUAUAUUCAAGAAAUUUCAAUUACAUUCAUCAUUUCAUCACCUACUUGAUAUAUUCACAUGUAAUACUUCAAUUGAACAUCAUCAUCAAGUAUAAGCCAUCAUAAUUUAAGUAGGGAUUCAAGAUCACAUGGCCUUAAUAAUUAACCUUCAAAGCCUUCCUCAAGGUCUUAACAUCAACCCAACCACAUUCAUCCAUAAAUAUACUUAAUGACAUCAUAUUAUAAUAAUCAACAGAAGAACUAAGUCAAUUGAAUCAUCAUAACCAAUUCAAUAUCAAUCCAUCACCUAGGGUUAGGGAAUGGGGUUCAUCAUGAAUUUUUCAAGAACUACAUUCAAUCGCAUUAAUGUAUAACCCUAAGCAGUCCAUGAAUGAAUUAUAUAGUUGAAACAAAACUAACUAUCAAAACCUACCUCAAUUCCCACCAAUUCAUAUGUAAGAUCCAAGGUGUGUGGAAAUUAGGAAAAAUAUAUGAAUCACAUAAAAUUCCAAUUAAUCAAAAAUAUACACUUAGUAAGCCUUAUAUAACCAUAGUUUUAAAUAAUCAAUCAUCAAUUUCGAAUUUAGAAGAAAACCUGUUUGUAGAUAAAAACCCUUGAAAUUUGGGUUAUUUAGAAAUCAACUUUGUAUUGACCUGUUGGGGAAAGGAACCCCUAAACUAAAAUAAUACAUACCUUAAGAAGAUUUAUACACAAAAUUUGAUUAAGAACCUUGGAGAUUGUCUUCUUAUUCAAGCUUUUUGGAUUCUUCAAUGAAGGAUGAGAUAGAGAGAGAAUGUAGAGACUAGUGGGAGAAAUUGGGUUUCAAUUUGUGUUUGAGUUUAAAAGUGGGAAAUAGAUGUUAAUUGAACUAAAAUCAAUAUAUAGUCCAUCCCAAAAAUACCCAAACUACCCCUCAUUAAUUUGGACUUCCAAAAGUGAAGUCCAACUUAACAUUAACUAUGAAGCCCCGCUCACCUUCACUCCCCACUUCACGGUCCGUGAAGUGAUUGAUGGACCAUGGUGGUGGUCGUGGAAGGUGAGUUAGUAUCUCCCCAAAAGAUCCACCUUCAUUUUUCACUAAGGAAUCUUUAUGACCCCUUGCUCCCUUCCGUGAUCAUUCACCACAUCCCGUUAAGUGGCUCGUGGUGCUCCUAGGAAGUAGCUCACUAACGCCUCACCCAUUUUCCCCCAAAUGGAUAAGGCAUUUUCUCUCCUAACCCCUUCCUUCUGUCAAGUUCACCACGAGUCGUGAAGUGGCUUGUGGUGUCUUAAACAGUAGCUAGCCCUCCAUGUCACCUUCCCCUUUUGGCUUUGGCUUGCCCUUGAAGGUUGGCACUCCUAACUUGGUCUUCCUUCCUUAAACCACUUCUUAGGCACCUAUAGUUACCCCAUUACUUUUCCAUGAACAAACCUUUUGACACCUUCUUGAAACCAUGUUAGCACCACUAGUUCAAGUUACCAACUCAUCGGGUGUCAUGGUCGUUUCUUGAGGUUUUCAUUCAAACACUUCUUAACUAGUUUCAAUACUUUGUUUUAGACUUAGGAAGAGUUUUCCAAGUACUAGUUCAUCAUGUGAGGCUCUAUAUUAGGUAUUGGACUUCCAGAAUGUUACAUCGACGAAAUUUCCAUAUUUUUGUUCUAACUCUUUUUUCAAGUUCAUUGCAGAUAUCGCCAAACCCAAAGUAGCUAAAAGAAUUAUUUCAUCCCGAAAAAUCAUAGCGAAGAAUUUCAGGAGGAGUCAAAAAGCAAAAAAUUCUCCCAAAAAUAUAUAACAAGGGAUAAAAUCCCAGUUCGAGCAAGAGGAUAAAUCCACAGGAUCCUGCUAUUCCCUCAUGAAGAUGUGGAUUCUUCAUAUCAAUAGACUCCUUCUUGGCAGAUCAUGGAAUGGAUAAUUCCAGCAAAGAAGUUGCCUCUGAAUCUGGUGAAAUGGCUCCAUAAGCUAUUGUUCUAUACCAGACUGACACAUUGGCAAUGGAGCUCAAAUAGAUGAAGCUACUGAGUAGACAAGAUCCCUCUCUACAUUUUUCUAUAUUUUUCUCUAAUAUCUAAUUGUGGAUGCUUUCAACUACAUUUGAGGAUAAAUGUUUAAAUAUGGUAGGUGAGGACCACAACCUUGUAUUUGAAAGUAUUAUGUUUACGUGUAUUUUGUUUAUAUUUUAUGGGUUGUUAUUUUUAAAUUGUGUUUUAUCUGCUUUUUUGAAUGAUUGGGCUUAUAUCUCCCUUUUGGAUAUAAUUUCAAAUUAAUUUUGACCCUUUCGAAAAAUUUUAAUUUUUUCAAAAAUAUUCACCACCUCUUGUAUAUAUUUGAAAAUGUGGUUUUUCUUAGGCAAAUUUAAGUCUUGGUUUAGAUCAAUACUCAUGACUUGAAUAGGGCUUGUAAUAGAACAAACAUGAAAGUAUGGCUACAAUGAGGCCAGAUAAAAUUGCAUAUACAAUAUGUGAACUCUUUGCAUCUCAUUGUGAUUAGACAAUUGUCAAAUUAAUUCUCUUGUAAUGUUUGUUUCACACUAGCAAAAGUGUGGAGUCUUGUUUGACUUUAAUUUUGGUGUCUUGUGUGAUAAGCUUACCUUGAACCAUGCAUGACAACACCUAGAAUUUUCCGCAUUGGUUUUAUUGAUUAAGUAAAGCUUUCUCUUAAAGAGUGAAAACCAAUUUGAGUGUGUGAAACUCUCUUGAACACUCCUUAAGCCUAACCUUUCUUUGGAAGAAACUUGACAACAACUUGACCUCUCUUAACCUUUUACCCAUAACCCUCUAGAUUUGUGCUUAAUAGCAUAGAUAACUUACGCCAAAAGCCUAUGUUAGGGGUGUGGUGAAAAGAGAAAGCAAGUCGAGAAAGUGCAAUAAAGAUCGCGUCUACCCAUUAUGUUGAGAAAAAUGGAACCCCUCCAUAUAAAAAGAGAGAAUAGAAAUAAAGAAAAAAAUGAAAAAGAAAGUAGUGAAAUUUACUUGAAAAUUACAAAAACAAAAAAGGGGUUCCCAACACAUUAUGCGAAAGUGAAUAAAGGGAUAGGUCGUAAGCACUAAUGAAUUUGUUUGAGAGAAAAGGAAAGGAAGUGUUGUAGGAACCACAUCUUAUGAAAAGCAUAAUCACUAAGCCUAAAUGACCAUACAUGUGCACUCAGCCCAAUUGCAAGACUUAAAAGGGACUUUUUUAUCUUAAGAAAGCUUAAACAAAUGUUGAUGGGAUAAUACGGGCAAAUCUAUGGGUGAAAGCAUGCAUUUUGUUCCUCUUUUUGAGAGUGAGAGUUGUAUAUGAUUCCCAAACCUUAAAUGAUUAACAUCAUGUGUGUGAGAAUGGAAUUUUCAGUUGUAUCAGGGCAUUCAAAGAAUUUUGUUGAGCUUGAACUUGCAUUUGAAGCAAGUAAUGCGAGCUUGAAAAAAUUUGGAAUGGUGUGUCACAACUUGAAUCUAUGGGUACACAAUUGAUCCUUGCAUAAGUAAAUUGAGUCUUGUUGUAUACAUUCAUGAUUGUAUCUUCUGUAGCACUAUUUAAGACAUUCUUUUUAAACUGUUGAACUUUAGUUUUACUUCAGGACAAUCAAAAAUUUAAGUUGGGGGCGUUGAUGAGUCCAUAAAUUGGACUCAUUUAGGGCUAUAUUUUGAUAAAAAUAGCAUCUUUAAAUGUUUUUGUCUCAGUUACUGAUGAAUAACCUUGAGUUUCAGGUAUUUUGAGUUUGAGGAAAAGCAUGAACGCUACUUAUCAAAAAGGAACAAAGAGGAUGAUAAGAGCAAAGAAAUGGAGGCUUGAGGAUCACCGAGCCAACUUGGCAACUCCCCGAUAGGUUUGAAGAUCGCCUUUUCUUAAAGUGUGUUGAGCUUUGAAGGAAAGGAUCAAAUCAUCGGUAAAAAGAAGCAGUUGGCGCACCACCAAGAAGUUUUGUGAAACAGUGUCGUAUCCCCUAGAGAUCAAGAACACAAAGAUGCUUAGACUACGGAUAAGAUACUGAUGAAGUAAUUAAAAGGCGGAUCGCCGAUUUAUUCAGCAAUUCCGACUAAUGUCGUUAUUCAUCCCGUUGCAGCACUAAUCUUUCAAAACUAUAAAUACUUGUUGAGUGUUUUAGUUUAGAGAGAACCAUUAUUGUUAGAAUACAUAAUUAUCAUUUUUUCCAGUUUUUAUCUAAGUUUUUGAGCUCUAAGUUGAGAAAGUUUUUGGGAGAAGAACUUGAAGACAAAAGGGUUCAACUCUAAGGAUUUGGACUUGGGUUUUUUAAUUAUUUUAUUCUUGGACUGUAACAAGAAUUGAAUCUUCAUACCCAUUGAAUGCAAGCUCAUUCAGGUAAAAAUUUCUAUCUCUUGAUGUGUGGCUAGAAACCUCAAUUCUUGGGGUGUGAUUUUGUGAAUAUAGGUUAAGAUUGUUGUUGGGUCUUUCUUGUUGAUAGAUUAAGUGUAGUUUAAUCAUGACUUAAUUUAGUAGUUGUGGAUAAAUCUAAUGAAUUUAUAGUUGCAAAUACAAGUUUAUUUAUUUGCUUUCGGCUUGCUCAAGAGAAAAGUAGUGAUACUAAGACUACUAAAUUUAUGGUCGGGGGAGUGGGUUUACAUGGGCUCAGCUCGAGAGAGUAAGCCCUAGUCUCAUUCCCACACACUCAUAUCAAGAGAGUGAGUGGGUUAAGGCGUAGGUUGGUCUUCAUACGUCAAGUGAGUGUCCGAGAGGAAAAUAUUUGAAUCGGGGUAAGUUACUCUAGAGAGAGUUUAUCCCCCUUAAAGCUUAGCCUAGUCUUAGUUAUUAUUUAAGUCUCCUAUCGAAAGCAUGUUCCAAACAAUUUAUCUUAAUCGGUAUUCCUAUAACAUCCGAAGAAUUCUCUCUCUCUUGAUUUAGUUCUCUUGUUAAUUUUGUUUUUUACUACAAGUGACAAAACCCCUCAUUGAUAUUUGAUGCUUGCAUCAUCCCAUCUUAGAUUUAUAAUGUUUUUAUUCGAUAAUGUCUUUAGCUAUGACUAGUUAGAAUGUAAUUUUACUAUUCUAUAAAUUAUCACUACCACUCCCUUAUGACAUGACCCCAACCCUUGGUUGGGUUACUAUACUAUUGCACAAUCGUAGAAACUCAUACUGAAAGUUAUGUCGUUGAUUAUGUAAAACAUCAAUACACGUAAUGAUCUCAAUGGUUGUUGUGUGUUUUCAAAGAUUGAUCUUAGAAGUGGUUAUCAUCAAAUCUGGAUAAACCCCGAUAAUGAAUGGAGUACCAUAUUGAAGGUCAAGUUUUGUUUAUAUGAAUGGUUGAUGAUGCAUUUUGGUCUCACUAAUGCUCCUAAUACCUCUAUGGGUCUCGUGAAUCAUGUGAUGAAACCAUUCAAAGGGAAGUUUGAGGUUGUCUAUUUUGAUGAUAUCUUGAUUUAUGGUAAAACCAUGCAUGAGCAUAUAGAUCAUUUGAGAUGUGUGUUUGAUGUUCUUAGAAAGGAGAAACUUUAUGCUAAUCUUGAAAGUGUUCAUUUUAUGUUGAUGAAGUUGUUUUCUUGGGCUUUGUUGUGAGUUCAAAAGGUGUUGAGGUUGAUGAGUCUAAGAUAGACAUUAUUAAGAAUUGGCAUAUCCCGAAGUCCAUAAGUGAUGUUAGAAGCUUUCAAGAGUUGGCCAGUUUUUAUUGGUAAUUUUCAAAGGAUUUAGUACCGUAGCUGCUCUCUUGACCGAGGUAAUACGAAAGGAUAAGCCUUUUAAGUGGUGGGGAGAAUAGAAAACCAAAGAUUAUAAGGCUUUAAAAUCAAUGCUUAGCUCCACUACUUUGUUGCAAUUACCCGAUUUUGAAAAAUGUUUGAAGUUGAAUGUCAUGCUAGUAAAGUAGGCAUUGGAGCCGUCUUAAUUCAAGACCAAAAGCACAUUGCUUAUUGUAGUGAAAAUCUCAAAGGUUCAACUUUCUUAUGAUGUUGAAUCAUAUGCUUUAAUUAGAAUAUUGGGUAAUUGGAAACACUUCUUGUGUCCCAAAAAAAUUGUCAUUCGGACCGACCAUGAGUCCUUAAAGCAUAUUCGAGCCCAAAGAAAAGUUGAACAAAAGGCACGCCAAAUGGAUUGAAUUCCUUGAAUCUUUCUUUUAUGUUAUUCAAUACAAAGGGGAAGUAAAAUGUGGUGGUCAAUGCCUUGUCUAGGAAACAUAUGUUGAUAAAUACAUUGUCUUUUAAAUUGUUUGGCUUUGAAUGUUUGAAGACAAUGUAUCCCAAGGAUCCCAUGUUUUCUCAAAUCUUCCAAGAUGUGAGGAAUGGGAGAGGGAAAUAUGACUUAGGGGUAAAUCUCCUACUCUCUGUUCUAAGUUUGAUGGUUUGUUUUUCAAAGAGAAGAGAGUAUAUGUUCCUAUGAGCUCUUAGAGAGAACUAUGUGUAAGGAAGGCAUACAAUGAGGAUUAAUGGGUCAUUUUAGUGUUGAUAAAACAAUGGGAAUUCUCGAGGAACAAUUUUAUUGACCUAAGAUGCAGAAAGAUGUUGCUCAAAUUUAUGGACAAUGUAUUGAACACCGGAGUUCCAAGUCAUGCCUCCUUCCCCAUUGUUUAUACAUUCCACUCUCCAUCCCUCAAAGGCCUUGGCUUGAUAUUUCAAUGGAUUUUUCUUUGGGUUUAGACAAAAACAGGUAGAGAUAGCAUUUUUGUUGUUGUUGAUCUUUUUUCAAAGAAGGCUCAUUUCAUUCCAUGUCAUACAUGUGAUGGUGCUUCUAAUGUGUCUUCUUUGUUUUUUGAAAAUGUUGUUAAAUUGUAGAAUUCGUCAAACCAUCAUAAGUGAUAGGUACCCAAAAUUCCUUAGACACUUUUGGAAAGAUUUGUGGGUAGACUUGGUACUAAGUUGUUGUUCUGAACUACGUAUACUUGUCAUUCACAAAUUGACACCCAAAUUGAAGUUGUGAAUAGGACGUUGGGUUCUAUUCUUCAUGUCCUGAUACAUGGGAAGUUGGCCUCAUGGGAGGAACAUUUGCCUUUGGUUUAGUUUGCUUAUAAUCAAGUUAUUCAUAAAACUAUUGUGAUACACCCAAAUUACACCUCCCGAAAGAAGUAUAAGAGGUCCUUACCAAAUUAAAGAACAUAACUUUCACGUUAGGGUCAAUCCAAGGAGGAAUAUGGUUUAGACUUAAGCUAACUUACACUUAUUUGUGUUUAGCCAAACUAUUUUCGAGAACAAUAAUAAAAAGGGGAGAUUCGUAAAUAAAAUAACAGAUUGUAGAUUUGAAUCACGAAGUAACAAGUAAAAAAUAUUCAUAAUUAGAGAUAUCAAUAUUGAAAACUAGAGUAUAAGUGUUCCCCACAAGCACUUAACGUGGUAUUCCUAAUAAUAGUAACUUUAUCCUAGUUUUUGACAAGCAAGGGUGAUAAGUUGGAUAUCCCUAAGUGAUUUUCCUCCAAGCAGGAAAGUUUACCUCACAACUUGGUAAGUCUAUGGGUGUGUACUUCACAAACCCUUACAUUUACUCUGGAUUAGCCCUCGUGUCAAUUGAGUUGGAGUUCGACUAUUAGAUAUCAACAAAUCCUUAACUAAAUCUCCAUUGUUUAAUAUUUUUCUUAUUCAUUACCAGUUUGGUGAGGCAAGUAGGAACGAGGCGAGUCCUAAUGUUGGUUUACGUAAAAAUAUUUUCAAACGAAAGAAUUAGUAAUACAUGCAUAAACACUAUUCAAGAAUUACUUAAUUAUUAUUCAUAAGUUGUUAAUUGCUCAUGGUUCUAAAAUCCUAGUUGUGUAUUUAGUUAUUCAUGUUUGAGAGUUCACAAUGCAUAUAAGGUUAACUAAAGAAAUCAUGAACUUACGAUUAGAAUAGAAGAAUACCAAAAUCUUGAAUCGAAAUUCGAAGUGCAAAUUGCAUAAAAUUAGCUUCUAGAAUUGAAGUGCCGAAGGUUUGCAAAAUAAUUCCAAAAAACAAAAACAAUACCAAAAAAUCGAGUCUAACUCUCAAAAACGAAAAAAAACUUGUUUUUAAAGUAUAAAAAUCCUAAACAAAAUAGGUAAAGGAAAUAAGAAAAUUUGGUUUAGACGCGGUUUAGAUCGAUGACAUGACCUACGGACCGUGAUCAGCCUACGGUAUAUAGUUUACCUCUGUGGUUUAGUACUUUGUAAAUAUUUCUGGGUCUUCAAAUGAAGAUUGCCACCUAAGGUCAGUGGAUUGCACUACAGUCCGUCAUGUUCCUCCGUGGUUCAAUUACUUCAAGGCAACUUUCUUGUCAAAAACGACGAUCGUGUAGAAAUGUCAGUCAUUCACUCUACGGGGCAUCAUUUCCCUCUGUGAUUCCAUUGUUAAUCAGACAUUUUGAACUCAAAUCUAUGAUUCUAUACCUAUGACCCGUCACUGGAACGAGGUUUGUGGUUGGCCUCAUCAAUUGCUACUACUAUCACUUCAAUUAUUUUUCUCUCUGAUUCUGCAAAAUAAGACCAAAUACUAUCACAUCUAAUAACAGAUAUCCCAAUACUCACAUAAAAUCCAAGUUAAAUGCAUCAAAAUACAUUAAACUCACGGUACAUUAUAGCGGUAUGACUUUAUUUGAAAUAGUGUAGGGUUUUAAUCCCCUAACCCCUUUAGAUCUCACUCUUAUUUCUCUAGAGGUUGUCUUAAGCUUAGAUGGGAGAAAAAUAUUGGAAGUGAUGAAGAAACUUUAUGAGAAGGUGAGACUUUACCUAGAAAAGAAGAAUCAAGAGGUAUCCAAAAAGGUAAACAAGGGUCGCAAGAGGAUUGUGCUAGAACCAGGUUAGUGGGUGUGGUUGCAUUUUCGCGAGGAGCGAUUUACUACUAAUCAAAAUACAAAGUUGAUGCCAAGAGGUGAUGUUCCAUUUCAAGUGCUUGAAAGACUCAAUAGCAAUGUAUACAAAAUUAACCUUCCCCCUGAGUAUCAAGUUCACAACACCUUCAAUGUAUGGGACCAUUCUCUAUUUUCAACUCUUCAUGAUGAUGAUCCAUCAAAUUUGAGGAUAAAUUAUUCAGAAAAAAAGGAGAGAAUGAUGCAAUUCGAAUUGCACCAAUGUCGUCUACUCAAAGUCAAGAUCGAGACCUUCAGAGAAUUCACGGUUUGUUUAUGAAGUUAGAGGUCCUUUAUCUUUUUUGGGCCACUUUUGGGCCUCUUAUAUAGUAAUUGCCUAAAACUAUAAAUAGGAAAUUUGGGUCGUAAAGUAUUUUGAAUAUUGAUAUUUUGAAACUCUUUUAUGAAUGUUGAGAGUUUGGUACAAGCUUGGGUUGAUUAUUGCUUAGAAAUGUUGGUUGCAAGUUUAAUUCAUUUCUAUUGUGGUCUUUGUAACAGAUUCGGUCCUUGAUUCAAAUUAAUCGAUCAAGGUCUUUAGGUCUAAUAUACUUGUAGGUUGCUUUUGAUUUUUUUUUCUUGUGUCAAUAUAUCUAUCUUUAUUUCUUGUCUUUAAUUUCCUCACCCAUAAUUCAUAGCGAGAAUUAAUUCAGGUAAGAUAGGGGAUUGUUUUUUAAAAAAAAACAUAAUAUUUUUAAUUAAUUUUUUGAGAAGAAAAAAUUAAGAGGUAGGUGGGUGGAAAGUGGGGGCAAGGAUGGUUCCUUAGAGGAGGAAGUAAUUUUCUUCUUUGAAAAACAUAGAAGAAAGCUAAUCUUUUUUAUGGAAAAACAUAAAAAUAAAAUAAAAUUGGGGGUGACUGGCUGGAAGGUGGAGCGGGGUGAUGGAUGUUGGGUGUGGGGGGGACAGGGUAGGAGUGGGUGUAGAAGGUAAAACUUUUUAUUUUUCUUAUGAAAAACAUAAAAAAAAUUGGGAAGGGUGUGGUGGAGUGGGUUGGGGUAGAAUUAUUUUUUAAAAAAAAAACAUAAAAGCAAUUAAGGGUGGAUGGGUUGAGGUGGAGUGGCAGGGGGAUGAGGGCGAGGGGAGGGUGGAGGGGCGAAGAUUGUGAGGUGGGAUUAGGAAAAAUAAAAUUAGGGAGUGGGUGAGUUGGAGGUAGGGGUGGGAGUGGGUAGGAUAAAAAAUUACUUUAUAAAUUUUAAUCAUAUUAAAAAAAAAUAAACUUGACAGCACAACUUACUUUAGUUCUUAAACUAUACCGGUGUUUAUAUAUCCUGUAACAUCUUUCAAGUGAUUAAAAUACCCAUAAGGAAGAUGUGGCAGAGAAACUGAGUGCACUCUCCUGAAAGUGCGAGAAAAAAAAAGAGAAAAGAAACUGAAUUUUUAAAGCCCUACACAUGGCCUUUUUUUAUUGGUAAAUAUUAAAAAAAUUAUUUAAAUAGUGUAUUUUAUAUAUUAAAUCUUUAAAAUAUGUGAUGUGUUUUUUUUUUAAAAAAAAAAGAUGUAAAUGAAAUUAGUGGAUCCCCUUUUUAAUUUCUUCAAUUUUCAAUUUUUUUUUCAUUUUGUUAUAUUCCUCAAUACACAUCUUACUCCAUUUAAACAUCUCCUCCUCCAUCUUCAUCCCCUCCUCUAUUCACUAUUUUCAUUUCACUAGUCUUUUACUAGUCCGUAAAAUUUAAUACCAAUGUCUUUUUAUUGACAUCGGUCUCACUCUAUAAUAUUGACAUUGAUUUGACAAAUGUAAACUUUCUUAAACUUUGAGUGACCCAUUUUGAUUUUUAGAUCCAUUCAAACAUUUCUCAUAAAAUUUAUAUUUUUUGGGAAACUUUCUUAUGCAAUCUUCAUUUCUUAUUGAGUUGUCAAGAAAAAAUUAGCUUUCAAAAAAAUCCACUCCGAGAGGGUAAAUUCGCUGGGAGGGUUCUAAGAAGAUAAUGUGAAUAUUAUAGUGAAUUUUCUUCUUUUAAGUAACUUAAAAAAUUGUUGAAGGUGAAAAAGAAGAAAAGUAAGUAUUGAGGGUUUGAAUAAUAAUGAACAACAAGAAAGAAGAAAGAGAGGGGGUUGGGGUAUGCAUUUAUAAAUUAAUCAAUUAAUAUAGUUAAUUUUGAAAAGUUUUUUUAAAAAAUAGUGAAUCAGUAAAAAGAAAUAAAAAUUAAUGAUAUGGUGCUUACAUGGUUAUUAUGUGGCGCUUAUGUGGCUAUGAUGUAGUGGUGAGAGUGUUUUUUAUCGUCUCAGGAUGAAAAAAAAUCGAUUCAAAUAUGUUGAGGGGGGUAUUUAAAUGCCCAUAUAGUUUAAGUACAAAAGUAAGUUAUUCGACCAAGUUUAUGAUUUUUUUAAAUGUAUUUUCUCUUCAUGAUUUUAAGUGACCAAUCUAGUGUUUUAAAAAACACGGUUAGGACUCGGCUGGGGCAGAGCUCUAGAAAAAUGCCUCGAGACUCAAAUGUGGGGCUUAUUUCUGUAAGACUUGUUCUAAGUGCCCGAUUAUACACCCUAAGCAUGCUUAACGUCCAACGGUCGAGGCUCGUUUAACGGACUUACACAAUUUAUGUGUUAAAAUAUUCACUUAACAUUGUUGACCCUCAUAAUUCUUGAAUAAGUGAAUGGUACUUAAUAAUUUUUUAAUCUAUAGAGAUACGAAGAUUGAGACUAACUCAAAUAACAAAUUGUACUAUCACAUCUUUACUGUUUGGUAACUCUGUGAAUGCGAUUAUAUAUUACGUAACAUGUCUUGUAAAAAUACAUAGAAAUUUUACUUUUCACUUAUCAUUGGUGUUCAUGAUUUUGUCGUAUGUCUCAAAAUUAUCAUAUUUUAUUCAACUAUUUGAAAGUAAUUUUAUUGUUAUUCAUAAUGGAGUGAUAUUUUUAUCUUAAUACUAGUAAGUUUUAUUAAUUGUUUUCUUUAAGGGUGGUAAAUUUUUUAAUAUGAUAAAAAAUAUUUUUUCGAAAUAAUGAUUCUUUUAUUAAUAGGAAGUUAAGAUAUUAAAUUAUUUAUAUAUGUAUAAUCAUAUUAAAAGUUUUAUUUUAUAUGAGUUUCCUUAAUGAUGUUUUUAAGUUUUUCAAAGUAUUGAUGUUCUUUAUAAAUAUAAUUUUGUGUUAUUAUAUCAUUAUAUAUAUUGUAAAUUAAAAAUUUAAUGAUGCAUAGGGCUUACACCCCACGUCUCUUGUCCUCUACUAAGUAAAACACUCUGUCUCACGCCCUCACCUUUUAAAAUACUGCUCCUACCAAUAUAAAUAAAAUAUGGAUAAACUCAUAUCCUAUCUAUCCAUUAAUUAUUCAAAUCAUAUUUAUCCAUAAAUAAUAUGGACGGAUCGGGUUAUUACAUUUUUUUUAUGUGCAAACCUUUUUUAACUCAUACAAAUCCAACCAAAUUCAACUAUUUACCAUCCCUAAAUCGGUGAUAUAUUUUAUUCAAAUCGGAUGGUAAUCCAACAAUAUUGUUAAAUUUACCAUAAUCUAUACCCAAUUCAUUCAAAUAAUAUGCAAUAUUUUACAAAUUUCACACCAAAAGUAAGCACAUCUAAACUAGUUAAGCAUUAUACCAUACAUAAAAAAUUCAUCAACUAAUCUUUUAAUUGAGUAAAUUAUUUAUACCCUUUUAAUUUAACUCAACUUUCAAAAUUGAUGGAUACAUGUAUCAUUAUGUAUCUCAAUUAUUUAUCUGAUUAAGAAAAUAAGUUAUAACCAAUUAAUUUAAACAAAUAAAAUAUAUAUCUCAAUUUUUGUAUUCAGCAAUACAUAUGUUUUACAAAUUCAAACUCAUAUAUCUAAGCACAAAAUAUGAUAGAGAAACUAAUAAAAUUUUAAUAAUAAAAAUUGAGAUAAGUAUCAAAAACACAUCCACGCUAUACAUUUUUUUUUGAGUUUCAUUCCUAAACUAUUGAAAGAUUGAGUUUCAUAUUUAAACUAUUACUUUUUAGUUUGACAAACACACAUCUCUUUUAUGUCACUCUCAUCAUGAUAUUUGUAAUACACACUCUCUGUAACGACCUGUUUAGUCGUUUUGAGCAGCAGAUUUUAUUCUGGAAAAACAGGCUGAGGCGACGGACCCAACGACGGACCGUCAUGGGCACGACGGACCGUCGCAGGGUCUCAUUUCAAAACACUUAGAAAAUCUGAAAUUGGGUACUGAAAAUCGACUAUCUGAACUUCGUAACGGAGUGGCAGGACGGACCGUCACAGGCCAUUCACCCAAAAUCAAGUUUCUGAACUAUGCGACGGACAGCAGGACGGGCCGUCGCAUGCGCGACGGCCCGUCACAGCUUGCGUAAUCCCAGUUGGAGUCGGAUUUCUGGUUAAGUUUUAAAGGGGCGUUUUGGACUAUUCCUGCUAUAAUUAUAUAUUUCGUAGGUUUAUAUUAAUAACUCAAAUUCUUGGGGGUUAAAAGAGGUAACCUUAAGUUAAUUAGUGGGGUAUUAUUGCCAUCUUUUAUUCUUAAUUAUAUACUAAUUAGGGUAAAAGAAAGAGGGUUUGAAUAAGAAAACAGAAAGAACGAGUAGAGAGAGAUAGAGACGAAGAGGAUAGCAAGGAUUUUGAGAAGAUAGCUUGUUGAUCGCAAUUCUUUGGUGGAGGUAGGUUAUGGUUUUCAUGCUUUCAUAGCAAACUCUUAAUAGAGAAUGAUAUGUAUUGGUAGUAUUGUAAAACCCUGCUAUGUGCUUAAUUGUAUGCAUGCAUGAACGUGAUUAUAUAAUUGUGAUUAUAUUAAGCAUGAUGAAGCUAUUGAAUCCCAAAUCUUGAUGAAAACCUAAUCUCUUGUUAAUGAUGAUGCCUUGAUAUAAAAGAAGGCUUGAUGAACUAAAGUAAUGAGAUUGAUGAUGCCUUGGUGAGAAAGAAGGCUUGAUGAAUUGAUAGAAAGAGAUUAGGGGAUCGGGUGUCACGAACCGACACGUAGAUUUAGGGGAUCGGGUGUCACGGAGAUGAUAAAUCAAGUGCUCUCUUAUCUUAGUGGGUUGUCCGAUCAAGGUGAGGCACCUCCAGGGUUUUCUGCACCAACACCUCCGAUUUCAGAGGUACAACAUGCAGCCACUAUGGCUCCUCGUAUGGAUGCCUCAUUAGAUAUAGGCACGUUUCCACGUCUGACUACUGGGCCUAUAAUGACAAAUGAUCAGCAUGAACUUUUCAGUAAGUUCUUGAAAUUGAAACCUCCAGUCUUCAAGGGUACUGAAUCUGAGGAUGCUUAUGAUUUUCUGGUUGACUGUCACGAGCUACUACACAAGAUGGGUAUAGUAGAACGGUUUGGUGUGGAGUUUGUGACUUAUCAGUUUCAAGGGAACGCCAAAAUGUGGUGGUGGUCACAUAUUGAGUGUCAACUAACAGAGGCACCACCUAUGACUUGGGCCUCAUUCUCUAGCUUGUUUAUGGAGAAGUAUAUCCCCCGAACUUUGAGGGAUAGGAAAAGGGAUGAGUUCUUGAGCCUAGAGCAAGGUAGGAUGUCGGUCAAUGCAUAUGAGGCUAAGUUUCGUGCAUUAUCCAGGUAUGCCACCCAACUGUGUUUCAGUCCACAAGAGCGAAUUCGCCGGUUUGUGAAGGGGUUGAGGUCAGAAUUGCGAAUUUCGGCCUUACAGAUAGCGGCAACGGCAAAAUCCUUCCAAGAGGUGGUAGACUUUGUGAUAGAAGUGGAAGGAGUGAAUCCAGACGACUUCACUAUGACAUCGACAUCAAAAAGGUUUUGAAAGGGAGGUGAGUUUAAUGGUGCUUACACUAGAGGACAGGGUUCGGGAAGUUACUCAGUCCGACCAAUUCAGUCUUCACUACAGACUGUAGUUGGGGGACCACCUCAGACCGGUCAACACUUCUCCGAGAGACCUAUGCUUGACUCCAGAGAGUGUUACGGAUGUGGGGAGACUGGACAUAUUAGGAGAAAUUGUCCAAAACAGAGUCACAGACCCCCAAUAGCUAGAGGUAGAGGUGGUCAUGGUAGAGGCCGUUUUUCUGGAGGGCGUGGUGGUCGAGGAAAUGGUGGUCACCAAAACGGCCGAGGUGAUGGGCAAACUGGAGCCACUACAUCACAACAUGGUAGGGGCAACGGACAGACGAACGAUAGGGCCCAUUGUUACGCUUUCCCUGGGCGAUCUGAAGCGGAGGCAUCUGAUGCUGUCAUCACAGGUAAUCUUCUGGUUUGUGAUUGCAUGGCUUCUGUGUUGUUUGAUCCUGGAUCCACGUUUUCUUAUGUAUCUUCCUCAUUUGCUAAUGGUCUAAAUUUACAUUGUGAAUUACUUGAUAUGCCUAUUCGUGUUUCUACUCCGGUGGGUGAGUCUGUGGUAGUUUAAAAGGUAUAUAGGUCUUGUUUGGUGAACUUUGUGGGGAGCAACACUUAUGUAGAUUUGGUUAUCUUAGAAAUGGAUGAUUUUGAUGUAAUUCUGGGUAUGACUUGGCAUUCUCCGCAAUUUGCGAUCUUGGAUUGUAAUGCUAAAACGGUGACGUUAGCCAAGCCUGGGACAGAUUCGUUAGUGUGGGAGGGUGACUACACUUCCAAUCCGGUGCGUAUCAUCUCCUUUCUUCGUGCUAAAAAAAUGGUUAGUAAAGGGUGUUUAGCUUUCUUGGCACAUCUCAAGGAUGACACUACCCAAGUACCUUCGAUUGAGUCGGUUUCGGUAGUCCGCGAGUUUUUGGAUGUGUUCCCUGCAGAUCUUCCUGGUAUGCCACCAGAUAGAGAUAUUGACUUCUGUAUCGAUCUUGAACCGGGUACUCGCCCCAUUUCGAUACCCCCUUAUAGAAUGGCUCCCGCGGAGUUAAGAGAGUUAAAAGCCCAACUUCAAGAGUUGUUAAACAAAGGCUUUAUUAGACCAAGUGCAUCUCCUUGGGGUGCUCCGGUUUUGUUUGUAAAGAAGAAGGAUGGGAGUUUUCGAAUGUGUAUAGACUACAGACAACUAAACAAAGUAACCAUAAAGAACAAGUAUCCUCUUCCCCGCAUCGAUGACUUGUUCGAUCAGUUACAAGGUGCUUGUGUCUUCUCUAAGAUUGACUUGAGAUCCAGUUAUCAUCAAUUGAAAAUACGGGCAACGGAUGUGCCAAAGACUGCUUUUCGAACGAGGUAUGGGCAUUACGAAUUUGUAGUGAUGUCUUUUGGUCUUACGAAUGCCCCUACUGCGUUCAUGAGCUUGAUGAACGGGAUUUUUAAGCCAUAUUUGGAUCUCUUCGUGAUCGUAUUUAUUGAUGAUAUAUUGGUAUACUCAAAGAGCAAGAAGGAACAUGAAGAGCAUUUGAGAAUGGUAUUGGAAAUGUAAAGGGAGAAAAAACUUUAUGCCAAGUUCUCUAAGUGUGAGUUUUGGCUAGAUGCAGUGUCCUUCUUGAGGCACGUGGUUUCUAAGGAUGGAGUGAUGGUGGAUCCUUCUAAGAUUGAGACAGUGAAGAAUUGGGUAAGACCUACUAAUGUGUCAGAAAUAAGGAGCUUUGUUGGGUUAGCUAGCUACUACCGUCGAUUUGUCAAGGGAUUCUCUUCUAUUGCUUCCCAAUUGACGAACUUGACUAAGCAGAAUGUUCCAUUUGUAUGGUCGGACGAAUGUGAGGAAAGCUUUCAGAAGCUCAAGACUUUGUUGACUACCGCACCUAUCCUUACCUUGCCAGUAGAGGGUAAGAACUUCAUUGUUUAUUGUGAUGCAUCCUAUUCGGGUUUGGGUGCAGUGCUAAUGCAAGAGAAGAAUGUGAUUGCUUAUGCUUCAAGACAAUUAAAAGUGCAUGAACGUAACUAUCCAACUCAUGAUUUGGAAUUGGCUGCGGUAGUGUUUGCAUUAAAGCAAUGGAGACACUAUUUAUAUGGGGUUAAGUGUGAGUACACGGAUCAUCGUAGCCUUUAGUAUGUCUUUACUCAGAAAGAUUUGAACUUGAGGCAGAGGAGAUGGAUGGAACUACUGAAGGACUACGACAUCACUAUUUUGUAUCAUCCGGGGAAGGCGAAUGUUGUAGCGGAUGCUCUAAGUAGAAAGGCGGGAAGCAUGGGAAGUCUAGCUCACUUGCAAGCUUCUAGACGCCCACUGGCUAGAGAGGUUCAGACUCUAGCUAAUGACUUGAUGAGAUUAGAAGUAAAUGAGAAGGGAGGAUUGUUGGCUUCUGUGGAGGCAAGAUCUUCCUUUCUUGACAAGAUUAAGGGAAGACAGUCUGAUGAUGAGAAACUGCGCAGAAUUCAAGAUAAGGUAUUGCGAGGAGAGGCUAAGGAAGCACAAAUUGAUGAGGAAGGUGUUUUGAGGAUCAAGGGAAGGGUAUGCGUACCACGCGUCUAUGAUUUGAUCAACACUAUUCUGACAGAGGCUCAUAGUUCAAGGUAUUCUAUACAUCCGGGUGCAACCAAGAUGUAUCGUUACCUAAAGCAACACUUUUGGUGGAGUAAAAUGAAGCGUGAUAUUGUUGACUUUAUUGCCAAGUGUCCAAACUGUCAACAAGUAAAGUAUGAACACCAGAGGCCCGGAGGAACACUUCAGAGAAUGCCCAUUCCUGAAUGGAAGUGCGAGAGAAUUGCAAUUGACUUUGUGGUUGGUCUUCCCAAGACAUUGGGAAAGUUUGAUUCUAUUAAGGUAAUUGUUGAUAGGUUAACUAAGUCUGCUCAUUUUAUUCCGGUUAAGGUGACUUACAAUGCCGAGAAGUUAGCCAAGAUCUAUAUCUCAGAAAUUGUUCGAUUGCAUGGGGUUCCACUAUCCAUCAUAUCAGAUAGAGGUACGCAGUUUACUUCUAAGUUUUGGAAAACAUUGCAUGCGGAAUUGGGUACUAGGUUGGACCUUAGUACUACGUUCCAUCCUCAGACCGAUGGUCAGUCUGAGCGAACGAUUCAAGUGUUGGAGGAUAUGCUUCGUGCGUGCGUGAUAGAAUUUGGUGGCCAUUGGGAUAGCUUCUUACCUUAGCUGAAUUUUCAUACAAUAAUAGCUAUCACUCGAGCAUUGAUAUGGCUCCAUUUGAAGCAUUGUAUGGUAGGAGAUGUAGGUCUCCCAUUGGUUGGUUUGAUGCAUUUGAGGUUAGGCCUUGGGGUACUGACCUUUUGAGGGAUUCGAUAGAGAAAGUGAAGUCUAUUCAAGAAAAGCUUCUAGCGGCGCAAAGUAGACAAAAAGAAUAUGCAGAUCGAAAGGUUAGAGACUUAGAGUUCAUAGAGGGUGAACAAGUCUUGUUGAAAGUUUCACCAAUGAAAGGGGUGAUGCGGUUUGGUAAAAGGGGUAAACUAAGUCCAAGGUACAUUGGACCAUUUGAAGUACUUAAGCGAGUAGGAGAGGUGGCUUAUGAGUUAGCCUUGCCUCCAAGGCUGUCCGGAGUACAUCCGGUAUUCCAUGUGUCGAUGUUGAAAAGAUACCAUGGGGAUGGAAACUACAUUAUCCGUUGGGAUUCAGUUUUGCUUGAUGAGAACUUGUCUUAUGAGGAGGAGCCUGUUGCUAUUUUAGAUAGAGAAGUUCGCAAGUUGAGGUCAAGAGAUAUUGCAUCCAUCAAGGUGCAAUGGAAGAAUCGACCCGUUGAAGAAGCCACUUGGGAGAAGGAGGCGGAUAUGCGAGAAAAAUACCCCCAUCUGUUUACAGAUUCAGGUACUCCUUUUCGCCCUUGUUUUCCUUCUUUUGAUCGUUCGGGGACGAACGAUGGGUAAAUUGGUAUCUAUUGUAACGACCUGUUUAGUCGUUUUGAGCAGCAGAUUUUAUUCUGGAAAAACAGGCUGAGGCGACUGACCCAACGACGGACCGUCAUGGGCACGACGGACCGUCGCAGGGUCUCGUUUCAAAACACUUAGAAAAUCUGAAAUUGGGUACUGAAAAUCGAGUCUCUGAACUUCGUAACGGAGUGGCAGGACGGACCGUCACAGGUGUGAUGGACCGUCACAGGCCAUUCACCCAAAAUCAAGUUUCUGAACUAUGCGACGGACAGCAGGACGGACCAUCGCAGGCGCGACGGCCCGUCACAGCUUGUGUAAUCCCAGUUGGAGUCGGAUUUCUGGUUAAGUUUUAAAGGGGCGUUUUGGACUAUUCCUGCUAUAAUUAUAUAUUUCGUGGGUUUAUAUUAAUAACUCAAAUUCUUGGGGGUUAAAAGAGGUAACCUUAAGUUAAUUAGUGGGGUAUUAUUGCCAUCUUUUAUUCUUAAUUAUAUACUAAUUAGGGUAAAAGAAAGAGGGUUUGAAUAAGAAAAUAGAAAGAACGAGUAGAGAGAGAGAGACGAAGAGGAUAGCAAGGAUUUUGAGAAGAUAGCUUUUUGAUCGCAAUUCUUCGGUGGAGGUAGGUUAUGGUUUUCAUGCUUUCAUAGCAAACUCUUAAUAGAGAAUGAUAUGUAUUGGUAGUAUUGUAAAACCCUGCUAUGUGCUUAAUUGUAUGUAUGCAUGAACGUGAUUAUAUAAUUGUGAUUAUAUUAAGCAUGAUGAAGCUAUUGAAUCCCAAAUCUUGAUGAAAACCUAAUCUCUUGUUAAUGAUGAUGCCUUGAUAUAAAAGAAGGCUUGAUGAACUAAAGUAAUGAGAUUGAUGAUGCCUUGGUGAGAAAGAAGGCUUGAUGAAUUGAUAGAAAAAGAUUAGGGGAUCGGGUGUCACGAACCGACACGUAGAUUUAGGGGAUCGGGUGUCACGAACCGACACGUAGAAUUAGGGGAUCGGGUGUCACGAACCGACACGUAGAUUUAGGGGAUCGGGUGUCACGAACCGAUACGUAGAAUUAGGAGAUCGGGUGUCACGAACUGACACGUAGACUUAGGGGAUCGGGUGUCACGAACCGACAUGUAGAUUUAGGGGAUCGGGUGUCACGAACCGACACGUAGAAUUAGGGGAUCGGGUGUCACGAACUGACACGUAGAUUUAGGGGAUCGGAGUGUCACGUACCGACACAAGAGGAUUAAUGAAUAUGAGGGAGCGGAGUGUCACGUGCCGACACAAGAGAAAUAAAGAACAUAAUUCCCAAAUGAGUAUGGUAUCGAGGCUUGAGUCCUCAUGUGUGAACUUGACGGUAAUUGUUAAUGAUAUAGUAUUUUUUGUUGCUACAUGUUGAGUAUCAUAGUUGAUUUUAUGAUAUUACUCGGUAUAUAUUGAUUUCUAUUUUGAGUUGGCCGAUGAUAUCUACUCAGUACCCGUGUUUUGUACUGACCCCUACUUUUAUGUUUUUCUUCUUGUUAUUUGUGGAGUGCAGCAAAUGUGCCGUCGUCUUCAACUCAACAGUAAUUCUAGCCAGUCUUCGUCACACCGGAUCUUCACGGUGAGCUAACGCUUCUAGCUUGGACUGGAUCUUCUCCUUCAUGUCUUGAUGCCUUGAACUUCUGGCAUGGACUAGUUUUUUAUGUAUUUUUAGCUUCUUAGAAACUCUUAGAAUUAGUAGUUUAAAGUAGAUGUUCUUGUGGUGAUGACUUCCAGAUUUUGGGAAACAAUAGUUAUUGAAUUGGUUUUUAUUAAUGAGUUUAAGUCUUCCGCAUUACUUUCUGUUGAUAUUAUAUUGAAAUGUUAAGGUUUAGAUCGGUUGGUUCGCUCACAUAGGAGGGUAAGUGUGGGUGCCAGUCGCGGCCCGGAUUUGGGUCGUGACACUCUCUCUCUCUUUUAUUUUUAAGAAUUUCUACAUCACACUCCACAUGAACGAAAUAUUCAACCUUGACAAAAAAUAAAUAAAUUAUUAGUAUUAGCUAAAAUUAAAAAUUAAAAAACUAUUAUAAAAAUUAAUAUUUUCUUUAUAAAAUUAAAUAUAAAAUAUUUUUCUUACCCCACACCAAUUUUCAAAGUUUUUAUUUUGCUUAAAUUUCUUUUAUAAAAGUGUUUCAUUUUUUACUUCAUCUCCUCCCCCUCAUCAAAUUCUAGUUUAGAUAUUAUUUUAUUUUCUUAAAAAUAUAAUUCUACCCAUCCACUUAACCCUCUGCUUUCAAUUUUUUUCCCAGUGUUUAGAUAUACAUAUCAAAAAUAUUUUUACUUGCCGCCACAAGACUUUUUAUAUUUUUUAGUUGUUUAUGUUAUAUUCGGUACACUAGUGAAAUUUUUUUUCUAAAGAUAUAUGUACGUGCAUAUCUAACACAAAAUAAGAAAAACUUUAAAAAAAUUAAAAUUAGUAGCAGAAAAUUAAAUAGGAUGGGGUAGAUUUUUGAAAAAUAAAAUAAUAUCAAUUUCUAUCGGUGGAAGGGGAGGGGGGGGGGAUGAAAUAUGAAAUUCUUAUAAAUAUUUUAUUAAAAAAAAGAUGGCGUUGUUGCGAGGGAGGGGGUACAUGGAGGAGGUGGUGGAGUGAGAUAAGAAAAAUAAUUUAAUUUUUUAUAUGUAUAAUAAUCUUUAAUUUUUAAUUAAUAUUAAAUUUUAUGAUUUAAUUUUUAUCUAGAUAAAAUAUUUUAUUUAUGUGGAGUGUCAUGUGUCAAAGUUUUUUAUAUAUAAAAGAGAGAGUGCACUACACAUACCAUGAGGUGUGUUUUUCAAAAUCAAAAGUGAUAGUUUAAGUAUAAAAUUAACACUUUCAAUAAUUUAGAUAUGAAACUAAAAAAAAAUUGUUCAAUUUGUGUUUUUAACACUUAUCUAAUAAAAAUUUAAAUUAAUGAGAUUUAUAUAUUGUGAGAAUUUGAAGCCGAGUAAUGUCCUACUUCAGCUAAAAAGCCCCUAACCAAUACAUUGAUUUUCUCCUCCCAAUCCAAAGAAUGUCAGUCCAAAAGGUACUCCAAAACCUAAGAACUCUGAAAAAAAGGCAAAUCCCAAAUACCCAUCUUCAUCAUAGAGCAAAAAUUGCAGACACCAUUAUCAAUGCAGUGUUAAACCCCAUAGUCAUUGCACCCUCUACUCUUCUCUCCAACCUCACUCCCAAUUUGAUUUAUCUUAUUUUAUCUGACCCACAUAUCAACACACCUAAAUGCCUCCACUUCUUCAAUUUCCUUUUGCUUAAUCAAUCUUUCAUUACUUUCAAGAUUGGUGUUGAAACCCACUUGACACUUGCUUGUAGGCUUGUCAAAGAAGGAUACUUUGAAUAUGCUGAGACCCUUUUAUUUUUAGUCCCAAAUAUUGAAACUUUCAGGUACCCUUUUACUGUUAAAGCUAGUUUUUCUUUUUUGAUUUGAUAAUCAAUAUUGUUUCGUUCCUUCUUUGAUGCUUAAAGAAUUGAAAAUUUUUAGGUGCCCUUUUGCUGUUGUAGCUUCUUUCUUUGAGAAGCACAAUGUUCAAUCAAAGUUUGCUUCAAAAAUAUUCAAUUUGCUUCUUAAAGCUUUAUCUGAUAACGCAAAAUUCAACCAGGCUUUGGAGAUUUUCAUGUAUAUGAAACUAAAUGCAAUUGAGAUUAAUGAGAGAACAUGUACUGUUCAUUUGAUUAAUCUUUUGAAGUGUGAUCAGAUCGCGUUAGCACUGGUAUUCUUUUAUCAAAUGGUUGAAUCAGGUAUUCAGGUUUCAGUAUUUUCGUUGACGGUAGUGGUAGAUGGAUUGUGUAGGAGAGGGGAGAUAAAGAAGGCUGGAGAAUUGGUGGAAGAAAUGUUAUCUAAAGGGGUGAAGCCUAAUAUUAUGACAUGUAAUACCUUGGUGGAUGCUUGUGCUAGGAGAUGGAAUUUCGAAGAAAUGAACUACACUUUGGCCUUGAUGAAAAGGGAACGAGUUGACUUAAAUGUUGAGACUUACAAAUUUUUGGUGGAUGGAUUUUUAAGUAGUGGGAAGAUUGAUGAUGCCGAGAGAUUGAUUUUGGAAAUGUAUGUCAAGGGUUUUAAAGUGGAUAUCCAUUUGUAUAAUUUGAUGAUUAAGGGAUAUUGCAGGCUAGGGAAUAUGGAAAGGGCACUUUCAUUGUUCAGGUAGAUGAUUGAGAAAGUCAUCUGCCCUAAUGGUGAUACAUAUUCAGUUUUGGUAAAAGGUCUUUGUGAUAAAGGACAGGUAAGUGCAGCGAAAGAGCUCGUAGAUAAAAUGUUGGGUCAGGGAGUUGAGUUGGAUGGAAGUAUGUUGGACAUCUUAAUUUACUUUUACUUCAAGGCUGGAAUGAUAGAGGAUGCACAUUCUGCUGAAAUGACUAAUGUUUCAGCAGUACUAAAUGAGUAUAUAAAGUGAAAUGUUGCUUACUUGUUUUUCUAAUAAGAUGGACACUGCAUCCUAACUGAAAAGAACCCAUGAUGGUGUGGCACUGAAGGAAUGUUUUGAAGACGUUUGUUGUCUUGUGAGUCAAGGGGUGCGGGUUUUGUCCUGAUAGUGCUAGAUUUUUGGACGAUAAAACAGGCUGGAAAUGAUGUGGGUUGUCAAUUAUCACCUUGGGAGUUAUUUUCCUUCAUCAACCAUAUACAGAGAAGCUUUCAUUUCCUUGAUGCAAGACUGAAUAAAUAUUAGUUCUUCUUAAAUGGAGAUUUGGAUGGGAAAAAACAGUCAUAUUUUUUUAACAAGACGACACAAUACGAAGGGCUACAACGCGGGAUAUACCAUGCUCAAAAUGUGUCAAAAAUUCAGUUGUGUAUGUUCCAAUUUGUUUAGUGUAUCUGACGGACUGCCAAUGUGUUUUGAAAAAGACUGAUUAUACCUAGUUCAGAUAUGAUGGAUUCUUCGUUAUCUAUGGAAAAGUUUGUUUGGGAAUCAAGGGAAGACAACGAAAAGUAAAACGGAGAGGAGGAAGUGAAGGAUAAAGAACUCUACUUUUGUUCAGAGAAAUGAGGAAACCAUAUGCUUGCCCGUUGUCUCUUCACAUUCACUACUUGUGCAUUGAAGGUAAAUCAAUUUUCCUCUUCAUUCAUUUUCCCCCAUCUUCUAUACGAGCCAAACAAAAAAUUGCAAACUUUUAUACUCUUUUGCCUAUUUUCUCAUCUCCCCCCUUUUGCCUUCCCCUAGUCAAAUCAAAGCCUAAAUUUCAUAUGACACGACUCAUUAGUACUUUUUAUCUAUAAUCUGUACCUAAACUUGGUGUCUAUACUCUUGUCAAUAAUAAUAUUAAGAAUACUAUUGGCCAAAUGCAUAAUCUGUACCUAAACUUGGUGUCUAUACUCUUUUUACUCUUGCUUUGUCGUCUUCUUUCUCAAAUAUGAUCUUAGUUGUGGUUAGAUUUUUUUAUAUUCUUUAUGUUUUUAUUCUUUUACUAAUGAUUGUGUAACCUAUGCAUUCAACUUUCUUUUAUAAUUGAUUAAUUUUUAAGAAUAAUCUAAAACAUGUUUAAGUGUAUGUAUAGUGCAUAUAGAGGGUAAUAUCUUUAUCUUUUCUACUUAAUUAGCAUGCUUUGAUUUGUUGCUUGCUUUUAUCGGUGAACUAAAAUUGUGAAUAAAUCAUCUAAGUCAAUUUCUAUUAGGGUAUGUUCGGUAUGGAGGAAAUAUUUUUCACUUUUCUUAUGUUUGGUUGGUCAAGAUGUUUGAAAAAUAUUUUCUAAAAAGAAACUAAUUCCUUUAAAAAUGAGGAAAAUGACUUUUCUAACGAAAAUAGAAAAAACAAGUUGCAUAAGUGACAUUUCAAGUUUAUUAUCUCCUCACCAACUAUUCAAUUAUAAUCACUCCCAUUCCCCUAUGUUUGGCUUUUAUGUUUUUUAUUAAACGUUUUCCUCCAUACCAGUCACACCCUAAUAGAAAUUAAAUGGAUGAUUUCACAAUUUUAGUUCAAUGAUAAAAGCCAAGCAACAAACAAAAGCAUGAUACUUGAGUAAAAAAAGAUAAAAGCAUACACCAUAUAUGCACUAUACAUUUCAAACAUGCUUUUGAUGAUUUGUCAAAAUUAAUCAAUUAUAAAAAUAAAAAAAAGGAUAAGUAAACUCGUGAGAUGGUAAUUAUUUAUCACCUAACUUCCCCCCCCCCUUAAGCAGUGAAACGAGAACAAGAAGACGACAACGAAUGAGUAAAAAGAUAAGAACGGAAAAUAAUCUAACUACAAGUAACAACACGAAAAAGCAAUAGUAGAAAGAUAAGAACAAGGAUAAAUCUAAGUACAAAUAAGACCAACUACAUUUGUUAAAAUUUGUGAAUUUGACUUUGACCACUUCAAUUCAUGUAAUAUGCUUUAUUCAAAAAUAAAACAAGACAACAAAAAACAUAAAAAUAAAUCUAAUUACAAGUAACACCAAAUUCAUCAUUUAAAUUUUAUGAAUUUGAGUUUGAUCGUCUCAAUUCAUUUAAUUUACUUUAAGAUAUAUAUUUGUGCUUUUAAUAGAAUCAGAUUGAAAACUAUUGCAUUCACUUAAAAUCAUAGGAAUAACUCUAUUUCCUUUCCUUUAUGUGUUAAACUACACUGAUGUGUCUUGCAUAAAUAUUCCACUCCUUUAGACAGAGUAUUCAGAAAGAAACAUAAAAAAAAAUUAUAACCUUGAAAGGACUUUACUCUCAUUUGUUUUCAUUAAGAUUAAAAUGUUUGAAUUUGAACACACAUAUUCGAAUAUUAAGAUGUGUGCAUUAAGAUUUAUAAUUUAGAAUCUGAAUGUACAUCUGAAUAUUAAGAUGUAGUUUCUAAUUUUGAAUAUUGAAUUAUUAAGUUUAUUUGUUUUCAAUAUUUAAAUGAGCAUGUUUUUUUUUCUAAAAAAAAAAUAGGAAUCAAAGAAUACCAAUAAAAGUUAUAAUCCAAAUCAAGAUUGAUAAAUAUAUAUGUAUAGCUAAAAGGAUAGUUUAGUCUUUUGUACGUAUCUACAUAUUAUGAAUAUCUCAUAUACUUGGUGAAUGUAUCUAUUCAAGAUAGUUAUUCUUUCACGGUACUAGAUACCCAGGUGCGCUCUAACUCUUUUUCUCCUAUGUAUCAUCAUUAUUACAUCUUCCUCCCUCGGUACUCAGACCUCUUCUACCACUUCCAUGGCUACUAUUUUUGUUGCACCUUCUAUUCCAAAUUUCGUUUUUUCUGUUUCCAACAUCAAAAAUUUGAUUCUUACCACUCUUGAUUAUACAAAGUACAUGCUUUGUAGAGAGUUAUUUAUCCCAUGUUUAAAGGAGAUAGUGUCUAUGGAUUUCAUCGAUGGAAGUCAUCCAUGUACAAACUCUUACCGUGGAGAACGAAACUUUUACUAUUAAUCAUGUUUUUCAUGUAGAGAGUUAUUUCUUCCCAUGUUUAAAGGACAUAGUAUCUAUGGCUUUCAUCGAUGGAAGUCAUCCAUGUCCAGAACCUACUCUUACCAUGGAGAACGAAACUUUGACUAUUAACCAUGUUUUUCAACAACAGGUCAAACUUGACUCCAUUGUUUUGUCAUGGAUUCAAGCCACAAUCUCUCAAGCGAUACUUAAGGCUAUUAUUCGCUCUAACAACCGUCUUACUACUCGUGAGGCGUGACUACAAAUUGAACGUUUGUUUCAUGAUCAUGCCAAUUUCGAGACUCUCCAACUUAAGGUUCAAUUUCGUAGUCUUAACAAAAGUUCUCUUUCUAUCUUUGAUUAUGUGCACCGCCUGAACUCCAUUGUCGAUGCCUUGAUAUCAAUUGACAAUCCUAUCUCUGAUUUAGAUCUUGUUCUCCAAGAUUUUUAUGGCCUACCUUCUGAAUAUCUCUCUGUUAGCACUUCAAUCUCCACCAGAAUUCCACUUCCUUCGUUUCUUGAGACCAGAUCUCUUUUAGUUCUUCAUGAGACUCAAUUAAGUGGUCUUUCCUCUACCGCAUAAGAUUCUUCUACUGCUUUACUAGCUAAACUGUCACAAAUGGAGCUUACACUCAAGAUAUGACCGACACUCGAGAACUAUUCAAUUCAACAUCAAAGGCAGUUCGAAAAAUUUCAGGUAGAAAAAAAUAAAUAUUAAAUUAUGCAAGUUCCUUAUCUUAUAUUAUUUUUUGGUCCUUCGACAUUCAUGAAUUUGAGAGGAUCAAACAUUUAAACAAAACAGUUAAAAUUAAAGAAUGGUCGCCAUUAGUCCGCAAGUUAAUUUCAAGUUCAUCAACACUGAGGGAUUUCAACCACUCCAAAGAAAAAUGAAAAAGAACGUUGAAAGAAGCCUUAUUAAGUUCCAAUUAUAGAAUCAAGAAUGGAAUUAUUAGAUACUGCAGCCUCACGUAACGAGUCUAGCAUUGAAAAUAUGUUAGAUCUGCUAGAAACAACACAAGCAUACCUACUCAAUUAAAAGGAAGUGCCAACAAAAAGUAAAUAUCAAGAAGAAGACUCCACGUAACAAGUUAUGCUAUACAAAUCACAAUCAAGUUUCAAGAUCACUUUAUGAUUCAACAUGGAAUAAUAGAAGCAUAUUAUGAUAUUUAAUAUGUCAACAAAUUAACAAAUGUGUGGAUCCCGCAGAAAUAAAAAGUCAUGCCACAAAGUGACAAAAUACCAAGAAACAAGGUACAAGAUCAAUUUUAAGCAAAAAUAUCUUCAAAGAAGAUAGACAUGCAUCAAAUUCAACAAAAAACCACAUGUGCAAAGUUCCACCUAUGUGGCAUAUAUUCCCUGCCACGUGUAGUUAUCAUCAGUUAUAAUGUAAUGAUUAGUAAACACAUGUAAAACGAAUAGUGUGUAUUAUUGUAUGCACACAUAAGUUAGAUUAGUCAACACUUUUGAGGCUUAUUUAAGACUUUCAACUUGUAUCAUUAGAGGACAUUCAAAAUCUUACGACUUUGAAACCUCUCUACAUUUCUCUCCAUUUCCCCCCACUUUUCCCAUCCUUUUCCAUCCAUUUUCUCUUUCCCUAAAUAAAUAAAAAAAAAUUAUUGCAAGUAUACCUUCUCUACUACUAUUUUGUUUAUUUGUUUUCAUGUUGUAAAGUUUAAGUUUUACUGUUGUUUUCUUAUUUUUUACCUUAAAUGUUUUCUUUUAAGUGUCUACUUGUUCUUUCUCCCCUUUUGUUACGUUGGCAAUUUUCCUUAUGAUUUCAUCUUGGAACUCGAUUCAUCCCCUUUAUUAGUAUUAGAAUCAAGUUGGUAGGAAAGGGUAUGAGUAGGAGCGGCUAAGUCCCUAUACUGUCCUUGGGCAGACAUCGCCGAAACUUAAAUUGUGAUCGUGGCAUGACUUUUUAUUCCUACGGGGUCCACAUGUUUGUUAAUUUGUUGACAUACAACAUUUUCUUGUAUUUUCCUAUGUUGAAUUAUAAAGUUGUCUUGAAACUUGUUUGUAUCACUGAAUUGUAUAGCAUAACUUUUUCUGUGGGAUCUUCUUCUUGAUAUUGUCUUUUUUGUUGGCAUUUGCUUUUAAUUAAAGAGGUAUGCUUGUUCUGUUUCUUGUAGAUCUAACAUAUCUUCGUUGCUAGACUCGUCAUGUGAGUCUAGCAGAGUCACAUGUAAUCUAAUAUCCUCAGCGGAGUCACCAUUCUGUCGCGCCCCAUUUUUUGCAAAAAAAAAAAUGGGUUUUAUGCACGACCUAAUAACUCUUUUGGGAUUUUGAGUUUGGAGUCGCCACCUAAUGAAUUAAGGCGCGUUAGGGCACCUAUCUAACCUAACUAAGUCUAUCUAAGGUCAACGAGCCAGAUAUCAGGGUAAGGUUCAAAUUACCUCGAGGGGAAGGUGUUAGGCAUCCCUCGAGAUCCAAAAAUGAGGGUCUCGGCCGUAUCUCAUGCAAUCUAGGUGGGGAUUACAAGUAGUAAAUAAGGUCACAUCAUUUAUUAAUUUAUUUAAGCUUGCUAAGUGAUCACAAAUAUAAAACAAUUAAGACUAUUUUAUUAUUUUUAUUAAUUUAAACAUGCAAGGCUAGGUAAUAGCAAUAAAUAAACAGUCAAGUUUAUUUUUGUUUAUUUUAACAUACCAGAUUGUGUUAAACAAUCGAACAAAGAGCUCGUAUUAUUAUUUUAAUUAAUAUUUAAUUAUGCGAGUCUAAGUGAUAAAAUAUUAAAAAAUUGAGAAAAAUUUUAUUCUUUUUUUAUUUAAUUAUUUAAGCAUGCAAAACUAAGUGAUAACAAUAAAUAAACAUUAAUAAAAAUUUAAAGAUAAGCGAGGGGAUAGAUAAGAGGCAAAUAAAUAAGCAAACAAUUUUAUUGUUUUUAGUUUAAUUUACCCCAAAUAAAUUACUAAACAAUUAAAAUUACUUCAAUUAUUUAUUAUUUGAGCAUACGAUCUAUGUGAUAAACAAAUAUUGUAUAUAUUAAGCAAUUAAUAAAGAGAUAAACAAGAAGACAUAAUAUGCACAAAAGAUAUAGAAAAUAGCUCGAUUUAAUUUAUUAUGCUACACCAAACAAGAGUAAUAUGUGCCAAAGUAAAGUUUUGAAAAAUUGAGCAAGUUUUGAAUAGAAAUUUUUAUUUUGAAAAAUGUUUGUUUCUUUAUAGAGGUGAUGUCACGAUAUUGUUAAUCGCGCUCCUCCACCAUAGAAACAAUUUUGAUUUGAGGUCGGUCUUAGAAAAAUAACAAUAGUUUGUACUUUUGAAAAUGAUUUAAGAGAUUCAGUUUGCAUAUAGGCACAUAUAUAUUUACAUAUAAAUACACAUAAUUCCUUUUGAAAAUCAUGGGUAGGUGGUACUUCCGGGGACUCGUCGGUUUAAUUUAAAAAUUGGAACUAGACCUCGUAAUUCCUUUGACUUUCCCACUAACGAUAGGUUAGGAGAUAGUUCUUAUAAUUUAUUUUUAAAAAACAAAUGUCAUAAUCAAUCCAAAGGUUUAAAGGAGGAUUGAACAAUGACUUUUUUUAAAAAAAACAUGUUGCAAAACUUUGUAAAAAAAAAAGGAAAAACUACUAGAACAUUAAUGUAGUAAAUUUAUUAAAUGCGAAGAUUUUACUAUGAAAUAUAUUCAAAAGUCAAGUAAUUUGUUAAAUGCAACAAAUGAUUUUAUUUUAUUUUAUUUUUAUGGUUAGAUCUAAAAUUACUUUAUCAAAAAAAUGUCAAAUAAAUUACGAACAUAUAGGCAUGCUUUCUAAUACAAAUAAGUUUGCAAAUAAAAAAAAUAUGAUUAACAUACAACUUCCCCUCCCCUUAAGCAGUCCUCAAAUAUUUCGUAUGCGAGAGCUUUUGAGUUAUACAAAUAUUACAAAAAUUCGAAUAAAUAUAGAUUCAAAUAUAUGAAUUAGAUGAAUUAAUCUCUCUUCAUAUCUAAUCUUCAACUUGAACUUCAAGUUUAAUACUUGCCAAAGCAAUCAAAUGACUACACAAGUAAUCACAUUUAUUUAGACAAGAUUAGACACAUAUGCAAUUGUUUAACAACAAGUUUUAUAUAUAGGGGAAUUGAACAAUAAACUUUCGUAAAUGUAUGAAUGCGAAAGGAAUACUAACCGGUUGAGCAGAAAGGGUUGGUAGCGAUGAGAACGAGUUGAUCAAACUUCUAUUUCAACAAAGCAAAGUAGCCAAGUAGUAGCAAAGAAGAACACCGAAAUCUUAAUUUUGUUUAAGAAUAGUAAUAGUAUAAGUGGUAAGAGGAUGUGAGCUCUUGUAUUGAGAGAGAGAGUGAAUGAGUUGAUGAUAUAAUGAAGGGAGGGGUCUU
rnacentral:lncRNA from 1 species